GCGGCGGGGGUGAGGGGCGUGGCGCGGUGAUGUUCCCGCGCCUGCGGCUCCCAGGCCCCCCUUCCCCUACGACCCGGGCGCCUAGACCGUCCCUGCGGAAGGAGCCGAGGGGAAGCCUCCCUGCUCGCGGGAUCCGGGGCCCGGGAGCCCAUGGGCCGCGAUGAGCCCGCCCGUCCCGUUCCCCCACAGGUCCCCGUUCUGAGGGUCAGCGCGGCCUUCUAGAAGGUCCGGGACGGAUUCGUAGCGCUCCCAGGGAGAUUGGGAGACGGGGAAGGAGAACUGGCGACCUCACGGGGGCUGGCGGGGUAGCACGGCCGCCCCACCUCGGGCCCCGCCCACUCGGGCCCGAGCUCUCUGGCGCCGCCUGUGGUGAGCUUCACGGCCCCGGGGCCCCGACGUGUGGCGGCCCCUCUCUAUCCCAGCCCGCCGCGUUCGCCGAAUGCUCCUGAGCGUGUCUCUGGGCGGGUUCGCUGCCAAGCACGGACGCCCCCUCCUCCUGCACACAGGGUGCUGUGCACAGUAGGGCGGAGCGGGCAGCCUGGUCGCGGGAGGACGUGGCGCCUGUCAGAGGCGUGUGUCCACGCUUCUGGAGAUGGGGACGCAGGAAGGUGACAGUCUCCCAGUGUCACUCGACAGGGUGGUCUGCCACGGGGGAUUCCUGUUGUGCGCCAGGACGACCAGUGGUUGGGCACCGGCUGGGGCCCUCUCACUUCCUGGGGAGGCGGAGCCUCCCAGCUUCUGGGUGUUGCUGCACAGGCCUUCCCGCGGCGUGGGGCACGGACACCCACCCCGAAGACUGCUGGGCUCCACCACACUGCCCUGGUUGGUCUUCCUGCAGGUCCAGGGGCUGCCUGUAGUUUAGUCACCUAGCUGAGCACUGAGCGCUGAGCGAAACAGCAGUCUUGGAAGCCCACGGUCUCCAAUAGAGUCGCUUGCCCGGUGUGGAAGCCCUUUGCGUUUCCGUUCCUCUCCUCUGUCCCUAUUGCUACUUGGUCAUCUGCCUUUUUGCUUGUUGGUUGGCUCCAGGUCUCUACCUGGUAACACAGGAGCCCUCGAUCACAUCUUGAAGCUCGCUUUCGCCACUCUGUCAAGUCUUUCACACACUGGUUUGAGAAGUUGUUGGGGGUCAAGUAGAAAAUUUUAGUCUUCGUAUCAUUGCAAUUCCCAGGCUUUUCCUAAUGGUUUCUGGGGUUUCUUUGCCUUGGGCUAACUGGGCAAGCUCCCCCAGUUAAAACCCUGUGCAUCUGGCUUUUAUGUCCCAGGUCAGGGGGCCCCCUGGAGUUUGGCUCUGGCUCAGGUCUCUUGGGUGUGGGUCUUGGUGGUGGUGGUGGUGGUGGUGGCAUGGAGGUGCUGUCAGCUGGGGUUAGCAGGGGGCCUUUAAUGCCUCCCUGCAGGGCCUCUCCCUAGGGCUGCUCAGGCCAGAGCUUUCGCAGAGCCAGGGAUCAGAGAGAUGGGGAGGGAGAGGGCAGGAGGGAGCACCCCAAGGCCAAGCCACAGUCUUCUUAGGACCUCAUCCCCUGAUGCCCUUCACCCCUGCUGUCGUUUUUUAAUUGGUCUCAUAGGUCAAACCAGGAUCAGUGCAGGACAGGAGAAUGUAUGCAAGGAAAGAGGUUGUUCCCACCUGGCACUAUAAGGCACAAGGUGGCUGCUGGCGGGCACCUUGGCUCAGGGACUUGCAUGUGCCACUCCAGGUCCUAAGCAGGUCCAACUCUGGAAUGUGUCCCAGGUGUAAGCCCAGCCUCAGGACCCAGAUUGAGUGGCUUUCCCAUCUUUGAGUCAUUGCAAAUUAAAACACAGACAACCCCAACAAGGAAGGAGGAUGUGCCCUGGAGAGCCUGGUGUGUGUGACCCUCAGACCUUCUGUGUGUGCUCUCUGGCCCAUGCUCAUGGAGCUUGUGCCCGCCGAGCUGGGUAAAUCCUGUCCCUGCAGUUUGUCCUGAUGACAGGCUCAGGAGGUCCUUUCUUGUCACAGCAACUUGUUCAGCAUCCCAGGAAUCCCCUCCAAGCCUGGGGGGCUGGACACUCCCCGCCACCUGCAAUGUCCCACCCAGGGGCUGGCGAAGCUCUGCAUGAGGUAUGGGUGACUUUUCUGCAGCAGGCUGGGCCUCUCCUCUGCCUCCACCCCAGAAGGAACCAUGAAGGGCAGGUGCCCAGGAGUGGAGAGGUGUGUGCCUCGUCAUGGCGCAGGCACAAAAGUCCCUUUCCUAGGCGACUGCCUCACGUUGCCCAGGUCCUGGGCACUGGCAUCUCAGUUGGGGCAGUUGGCAGCCUGGGAGGUGGGGACGCUGAGGGAUGAGGUGAGACACAGGGAAGAAACUUCCCUCUGGCCUGAAGGAGGCCGUUGGUGCCUCAUCCUUCCUGGUCUGCACUCGGUGGAGACUUCUCCAUGGUGCUCCUGGUGGCUCUGAAUCUGUCAGUGAGCUUCCCUGGUGGUGAGUGCUUUUGCUGUGGGCUGUCACCGCUGGGCAGCACCCGGACCCUGGCAAACAGCUCCUGGCGCUUUCCCCAGCUGCCUUGCACAUCUGGACCUCAAGGUGGGCCCUUCUUGUGUGGAUGUGUUCUUUUUUUUUUCUUUUCUUUUUAAUAAGUUUUUAAAUUUAUUUUUAUGUGGUGCUGAGGAUCAAACCCAGUGCCUCACAUGUGCUAGGCAGGCGCUCUACCACUAAGCUGUAACCCCAGCCUGCAGAUGUGUUCUUGGCAUAUGGGGACAGCCCCUCAGCCAAGAUGUCGGGCUAAGGGUCCUGGGGCUCCUCAGGAGGACACGCUCGGCUCUGUGCACACGCACACUCUGGGGUCGGCUCUGCACACGCACACUCUGGAGUCAACUCUGUGCACACCCACACUCUGGAGUCAUCUGUGUACUUGCUGUCCUGUCCAUCCCUCUAGCCUCUGAGAGAAUGGAGCCAGCUUUCCCAUCCUUUGCGGCUCUGCAGGGAGAAACGGGGAGAAGCUUUGAUUCCUCUGCCUGGGAUGAUCUCAGGGAGCCUGGUUGGAGCCACAUCUUCCCAACCCCAGCUGCCCUACACCCUUGCAGGGGGUGGGGGACGGGCUCUUAGCAGCCCGCUGUGCAGAGGGGAGAGCCAGACCCCGUCCUGAUGCGCACAGCUCACCCUGACUUAGCCUAAAGCUGCCGCCUCCUCACCCUACUGCCCUGCCCCCCUUAAGGAUCCUGGAGGAGCUUCCCUAGAGUAUCAUAGCCUGUGCUCCAGACCUGUGGGGUCACCAGCAGCUGUCCCCAUGGGCCCCCAACUCUAGAUUGAACCCAGGGACCUCUUGGGAGCAGCAUGCCUGCCCCCUUGGCACCUGUAUCCAGGGCCUCUGGAGCCAUCUUUAGUCAGGGGCCUCCACUCCUGUCCCUAGGGAGACCUAGUGCCCUGGUCACAGCUGGAGAAUGGGCCCUGGGACUCUCUCUUCUGGGCUGGCUCCCUUCUGCUCCUGGCAUCUGUUUGCCAGCAGGCCCAGACAAGGGGUGUGCUGGGGCUGGGCCACCACCUCUUGGGCUCUGUGCCCAAGGUGGCUGGGCCUUUGAGCCCUGCCUGCCUCCUCCUAGCAUGCCCAGUGGGUCCUCCUGGAUUUCCUCGGUGUGGCUGGCUCACAAUCAGGAUGGGGCCUGCACACGGGGGUUCCCAUCUACCUGCCCUCCCCUGGGAGGCCCCUGGCCAGGACGGGUCUCCAGUCUGUGUCCCUCCUGCCUCCUUGCCCUGGUGGCCUCUUCUAGCUCACUGCCUGGACUGGCCUGUCUCCUGUCACCAGGGGCAUAUUCCACCCCCUUGGCCCCUGCCACCUAGUUUGGCAUUUUCUUCUUUUCCCCUGUGUCUUUUAGCCCUGUGUCUUUACCCUCCAGAAGUGAUGUGGAGGGGAGAUUGGGGAGUUCUGGUUUAGCCCUGCUCAGCUUGGCAUGUUCCUUGGCUCAGGCCCUGAGAGGAUGCAAAGCAGGGUUGUCUCCUUGAGGUGGGGUCAGUGCCGGUGCUGGGAGGAGGUAAUAGGUUUGGCGUGGCUCCAUGGUGUAGUGUCCUGGGGACACCAGGGCUGGAGGGGGAAGGACAUUCCUGAGGAGGACCUCUCAUCCCCUAGGUGGCAAUGGAUCUCUCUGUACGUGGUUCUGCUGGUCCCUGGCCUCUCCGUUUGGGCAGCUUCUAGAGGCUUCUGGAGUGUGGGAUACCUUCCCUACCCCACCCCUGCCAUUGAUCACAGUAGGAGUAGUAGCAGGGCUGGGCUGAGGUUCUGGUUUUAUCCAAUAGUUUCCUGCCAGCCUCUAGGGUGGUAUCUUCUUGGGACUGGUGAACUGGAGCCUAGUGAGCAGUCCCACCCCUUAGAGUGGGCCCUGUUCACUGAGGGGCACUGAGACUCAGCCUGCUGGGGCAGGGGAUUUUAGGAUAAUCCCUUAUUCAGAGGGUUUGUAGCAAGUUCAGGGUUCCUGGUUGAUGGCUAGGACUUGCUGCAAUUUCAAGACUCCUUAUCUGGUAAUCUCCACCAGAGUGUCUUCUUGAUCCCACCCUAGACAGCAGAGGACCUUCCUUGCUGGCAUUUAGUCUCUUGCAGUGUGGCCUUUUUUUCCUAGACUCCAUUCUUAGAGCUCCACAGAUCCUUCAUCCUGCAAUGGUUAUAAUCCAGAGAGGCAGAGAAGAAGCAGGUGCAGAUGAAGCCUCUGAAGAGUUAGGAGGUGAGGUAAAGCAGGUGCCCAUAUGCACCAGGAGGACUACCUGGAGAUCCAGCAGCCUGCACUGGACCCAUGUUUCUGCCCUGCUGGUGUCCUUGUCAGUUUGGUUUGACAUCAACCUCCAUGAGAACUAUAGCCACUCAGAAUGGAAGCAGAACUUUAUUCCUCUUGACUGGGAAAGAUAACUAGCAGGUGGUCGUGCAUAAGAUCCCCACUUCAUACCCCUCCCCAAACCAAAGAAGACAAGCGGUGCCACCAAGUGGCUCCCUCUGCCCAAGGGAAAGCCAAGAGGCUAAAGGCUGGCUGGGAAGGCAGGUGAGCACAGCGUAGGACAGGGGCGACUGCAGUGAUGGGAUGGCCAAGGCAGGCCAGGGCUCAAGGGAAGAAGGUGGGACUGCCUAGGGGGUCGGGAAGGCAUGGGAACACUUCUUGUCAUGGAAGCUGCUGGCUGGCAUGGGCACCAGGCUCAGGGUACCAUGACACGGUAGGGGCUGCCUGGGAUAUGCUCAUCGCCCCACUUGACCACCAGUGUGUACUCCCCUUUGUCCUUGAGCAGGUAGGAGACACUGUAGAGCCGGCUUCCCACAUGCUUCACCAGGAUCUCCUCGCAGGGUGUUCUUGGGCCAUGGACUCCCACCAGCAGCAUAUUGUUGCCUGAGGUAGGAAGGGCUACAGGCUCAGGUCCCAGUCUCUUUCCUUCAGCUGUGACUAACCCCCUUAACCCCCUUCCCAUAUCUUUUCUCUACCUGUUUUGGGACACUAGCCCUUCCAAGAAAGCUGCCAGCACCCUCCCCUACCCAGGGAAGCAGAGGAAAUUCCAGCUCCCCAAGGCAUUUCUUGAGGGGCAGAGAAGGCAUAGAGGUCCACAUGGGAAGUGACAUUACAAGUGACAGCCACAACCCUAAAGGUGGUUCCCAUUCCUCCCAUCCCAUUGUUUCUUUGUUUUUGGCACCAGGGAUUGAACCCAGGGGACUUAACCACUGACCAUGUCUCCAGACCUUAUUCUUUAUUAUGAGACAGGGUCUCACUAAUUUGCUGAGGCUGGCUUUGAACUUGCAAUCCUCUUGCCUCAGCCUCCCAAACUACUGGGAUUAGAGGUAUAUGUUACCACACCUGGCUUCAUACCAUUAUUUCUGGUCUGGUCUUUCUGGAAGACAGGGGCAGAGCUGCCUACCUGCUUUGCUGCAGUCCACUGUGAAACUGCUCUUUUGUCCUGCAUAAGCCUUGCUCAGCCCCAGGCCCUUUGCCACAACCUUGCUGGCAUCAGCAGGACCUGGACCUGGUGUUCCAUGCUGUGGGGCACCAGCAGCCUUGGUGAGGGAGUCCACAAAUACUGAUGAUGUCUCAUGGAGGCUGUGGUUGCUGACGAGGCGGGGGCCUAUAGGGCAAAAUAGGUGAGGCUAAAGGUGGCUGGAGUGUCAGUCACUGGGUAGGUGCCAACAGCCUGAUCUUAGGCUCACCUGUGACCUUUGCCUUGAAGGGGCUGCCCCCAAUGUGGUAGGGACCACCAUACUUGAUGGAGAUGAGGUAGCUACCAGGUGCCAUGGGGGUAUAAGUGACGCGGUAGCCCUCAGGGCACUCCUGACAAUCCAUCUUCACCUUGGAGGGGCCAUCAAUGGUCACCGAAAGGGCUCCAGCUCCUGCAUUGCUCGUGUUCACGAUAAACUCAGCUGGGUUCCCUGGGAGAAUGGGAGGUCAGGCAGAGCCCACCUAGCCCACUUCCCUGUCCUCAGCCACCCAGCACAGGCUUGUCACCUCCACAUUUUUUUUUACCACCAAAGGCUCAGAAGCCAGACCCUAGCAGCUGUAUCUGCAGUGAAAGUUGCACACAGACCUACCUGUGACACCACCUUCCAGGCCUGCUCCAUAGGCGGACACUAAGCCUGGGUCCCCUCCAUGCCCAGGUUCCCCAACUCGGAUCUUGAAGGGGCUUCCAGGGAUGUGGGUCCCGUUGAACUUGACAUCUAUCAGGUAGAUGCCAUUUUCCCGUGGGAUGAAGCGUACAGCAUACUUAUCUGAGGAGUAGAAGGGCAUGCUGUGGGCCAGGGGUCCCUUAUGUAUAAGCAGCAAAUGUCUGAGAGGAAUAGCCUCAGUCCUAGCUCUAUCCAUUUUUUUUUUUGAUCACCAAUGAGAGCCCAGCAGCUCCAUGGAGCCCACUCUGCUGCUUCCAGGGCUGUUUUGGGCACCUCUACCCACACCCCAUGACACAGACCAGGAGGCUGAAACUUUAGAGAUUCCAAGUAGCUCACUGUCGAGGCUCAUUUUUACCCUUUACAAGCAAAAUGCCUGCCUUGCUGCCUCCUUAUGAAUGUCACAUCACUUGCACAUUAAAUAGGGCUCAGAGAAGGACAGGAACUCACUUCAGGUCAUGCAUCUGGGAAGGGACAGGACUAGGCUGUGAAACUAGUGAACAAAACCUAUUAAGGCCAUGUCCCUGACUAUAAGAAACAUGCAGCCCUGAAGCUUUUGCAUCUUUCCCUCUGGAGACCAGCACUGCCUGCAGAAGGUUUUCCUAGUGGCUGUGACUAGUAAACCUAAGCCCUUGGGGAUCUGGGUAUCACGGGUUUCUUGGCUGAGAGGGCCCAGGUAUUGAAACCUAGUUUUGGCAGUUUACAGAAUCUGUACCUUCCUUUUUAUUCUCAGCCUGCUUCCAGCCAGCUGGUCAUGCCCUGGGGAGGCCUGCUGCCUCUGGUGGGGCCAGGACAGAUGGCUGGGCAGGGACAGGGCCUCACCUUGGUCAAUCUCUGUGACAUAGCAUUCCUCCAGGGCUCCCGAGGGGCUGUGCACCUUGGCAUCAAUCGCCCCCUUGGCCCCGUUCAGGCUGACUGCAAAAGAGGCUGGUUGGUUGACCUUUAGCCCUGACUCCUAGAAGCAUAGCAGAUGUGGUUAGAUGGAGUGGUUGGGAACCAGGGCAGGGGAGGAAAACAGAGCCCCAUAAGCAGGAGGCCCACAGGGUUGCACUUACCCACCUGGCGUCCAACUUGGUUUAAAGAGGGAGAGCCACUAAUUUAUUAAGUCAACAAGCCAUAAGCAUACUUCACAGUCCCCUGCCCCCCAGACUCAUGCUCUGCAAUCUCUCUCUCUCUCACACACACACACACACACACACACACACACACACACACACACGGCAGGAAGAGAAAGCAGCCCCACCCUGUGGGAAGCACCCAGCCCUGACAGGCUGUCCCUCUUUAAACCGCAGCCCUGGUGCUCAAGGGGCACAGGCUUCUGUUCAAAGCCUUUAGACCUGAGACACGAGAAAAACUCCACGAGGUGGGCAGGGCACUGCCUGCCAACCCCAAGCGUGGGCUGUACCCGGCCAGAGCAGAGGCCUGGCACCCAGAACUAUUCUGGGUAGGUCACUUGACACAAAGCCAAGGCCUGCUCUCUACAGUUGCUCUGGUCUGGCCGGGCCCAGGAGCCCCAGGUGGGCAGUUUCUCUCAGUGCCUCACCUGAAGACUAGAAACAGUAAGGCGGCGGGCGUCACCAGACGGAGAAGCCACAGGCACCACGAAGGGGCUGUCAGGGAUGUGCUCCUCGUUGAACUUGACCGAGACCUCAUAGUCACCUAAGGAGAGAGCAUAAGGCUGAGGUACCACAUGACCCCAAGGCCCAGCCCACAGAAGGCACACUGAGAGACCCCAACUUGUCAACCUUCAGACCUGCUGCCUCCCUCAAAUAGCUUUGGUGACCCUGGACUUCAAGGUGGAGGAUGGGAACCAAGCACAGCUAUCUGCAGCCCCCAGGGCCAAUACCUGCACUCGGGCCCCAUUUCCUCCAACUCCAGCUAGCACUGCCCCCAGUACCUGGCUCCUGAACCACAUAGGCCACACCACAGGAACCAUCCUUGCGGUCCUCAAAGGAGAUUUCAGCCUUGCUGGGACCCUCAACAGCAAUGGCCAGGCCCCCAGCGCCAGCUUCUCUGGUCCAAAUGCUGAAUUCGGCUACGGAAGAGCAGUUAUGUCCUCAUAGAAGGUUGGUUCCCUGGCCUGAGCCCCUUCCAAGCAUGGCCAAAACCAACAUGGCUGCUAGUUAUUUCCUCUAACCCCACCCCUACCUUGGGUCCACCCAGGAAAACAUGAGCUCUGUGGACAAGCAUACCUACCUGGCACUCCAGCUUCAGCCCUCUCAAGGCCAGGGCCCCCAGCACGGACCUUGUGGGCUCCCCCUUCACCCAGGGGCCCCACAGUGAACUGGAAGGGGCUCCCGGGCACAUGUUGGCCCUUGUACUUGACACUGACUGUGUGCAUGCCCAUCUCAGCAGGCACAAAUCGAAUACAGUAGGUAUGGUUUUCUCCUUCCACAAUUUCUGCCUCAUGGGUCUUGCCAGAUGGGCUGGUCACCUGGGCUGUCAUGUCUUGGAUGCUAAUUUCUGCAAGUUGGGGAUGGAUUGGUGAGCAGGAGCUCUGGGACCCGCCCCUUGUGCUUAGUGCUUAGGAAUGCCCAGAACCCUGGGCUCCCUGAAUUCCUACCAGGGAUCUUCAGACUAAGGUCACAAUGACUGCCAACAUUGGCCACUGAAGGGGCCCGUCGCCUGCGUGUGAUGCUUUCUUUCACCCGGCCUUCACCUGUCACCUUCACAGAGAAGGGGCUGCCUGCAGAAGAAAAUACAACCCAUGUCCCAUACAGGUUACAUGCUGAAAGUAGGUUCUAGGGUGUGGUAAGAAGGGCCACCAAGUGGCAGGGGAGGCAUGUGGCUGUUGCACUCACCAGGCACAUGCUGGUCAGCAAACUUGAUGUUGAUGAUAUAAUUGCCAGGCUCCGUGGGGCAGUAGGUGACCCUGCACGUGCCAUCCUCCAGGUCCUCUGUGUUGAUGUCCACUUUGCUGGGGCCCUCAAUGGACAGGCUGAGCCCACCAUAGCCUGGUAGAUGGACAACCAUGAGCCAAAAUUCCAAGCACAGCUAUACCACCCUAGCUGGCAGGCCAACACUGCCUACCUGCAUCCCGAGUGUCUAUGAUAAACUCUGCAGGUUCAAAAGUAUGGCCUUCAUGGAGGCCCUGGCCUGAGACCCGCACACGGCUGGCAUCCCCGAUCUCUGACUGGCUGAUCACCACUGGGAUGGGGCUGCUUGCCACAUGCUGGCCAUUCUUCUUCACAUGUACCAGGUGCUCUCCUGUCUCCUUGGGGACAAAUGAAAUCCCUGGACACAGGACAGAGUCGUCAACCAGGAAAGGUAUGGGCCCACCGCCUCCCUCCUUUCUAGAAACACCGGGCUCCUUCUCAGCCUCUUACCCACGUGGCCAUUACGCAACCGCUUCAGCAGACAGGGUUCCUCUCUGCCUGAGGGUGGUACCACAGUGGCUGUCAACAGGCUGAGGUCUGUCUCUGAGAUGUUGAUGGGGAUGUCGGCUGCAGAGCCUACCUUCAGAUGGGACAUCCGCAUGGAGUCAUCACCUGGUGGGAGGGCAGGACAUUUAUCACUUUGCGUCCAACCACAGGACAUGGUGCCAACCCUGCUGUCUGCCUUUGUCACUGCUCACUGUGCCACCUACCUGUGACCCUGGCAGUGAAGGGGCUGCCUGGAAUGUGCUGCUCAUUGUACUUGACUAGGAUGCUAUAGUCACCAGGCAGUACAGGUAGAUAGGAAACACUACAUGUGCCAUCCUGGUUGUCAGUGCAGCUGAUUUCUGCUUUGGAUGGACCCUCGAUGGCCAGCGACAAGCCUCCUGGAGAGAGUUAAGGGUUGAGGGUAAGAACUGUCCCUGCUGGAUCUGGAGACCUAGCAGUCAAGCAAAGGCCAGGGACACAAUCUUGUGUCCAGCCUCCAACCAAGUGAGGACACCUCAGGCACAGAGUAGGUCAGGCCUAGAGCUGCUGCUCACCCUCUCCUGCAUCCUUGGUGUUGACAGUGAAGGUGGCAGGCUUGUUGACCACUCCGUGGGUGAGACCAGGACCAUAGGCAGUGACGUGGCCACAGUUGACAUAAUCCACAUAGAACUGCAGGGGGCUUCCUGAGGCAAGAAUUGGAGGCACCAUGGAAUAUCAGCCUUGUGACCCCUUCCACUCCCAUCUCUGUGAGAUGGUGGCAGCAGUGGCAUCAUGUGGGGUGGGCAGGGGUAGGCUGGGCACACCUGGGAUAUGCAUAUUGUCAUAGCGGAUGUCCAUCUCAUGCAGGCCAGCUUCACUGGGCGCAUAGCGCACAGUCACAGUGCCAUCCUUAUUGUCAGUGAUGGAGGGCUGUGCCACCUUGCCUGAAGGCAUCCGAACCUCCCCUGCAGGGCAGCAGGUCUGGGGUCAGGGCAGCCAUUGGCACACCCUGGCCUCCUUGGCUUCCAAGCUCCUUCCCAGCCCCUGCUCACCAGUGAUCUCGCCCUUCUUGAUGGUGAAAGGGAUGACAAGGUCAAAGGGCCUCAGGCUGGUCACAUCCAGCCCGUUGACACCCACUAGGGGCCUCUCUGGGGUCUGCAGUGGAGACAGAGGGCUUGGGUGAGGGGCUGAGGAAAGAUCUAGGGUCCUUUCCCACAUGAGGUAGAACAAGGCCUCACAGGAACACUCAGAUAGCCAGUGCCAAAAAGAGGUGGGUCAGGCCUUACCCAGGUCUGCUGGCCACCUUGGGCAUAGGUGUACUGUGGAGCCAGCUGCUGAGGCCGUAAUGGGGCCUGUGCCGUUGGCUGGUCCCCAGCCAGAGCCUGCAGGGCAAAGCAAGAACUGGAGACUCACCACAAAGGGAACUCCUGGAGGGGCAGGCUAGGAUCUGCCCAGAAAUCCCCGCCCACCCAUCCUUGGCCUUUUCUCACUGUCACUUGGAAGGGGCUGUUGGGUACGUGCUCGCCGCCAAAGCGCACACAGAUGACAUAUUUGCCCGGCUGUGGGGCUGUGUAGAAGAUGUCGAAAGUGCCAUCCUCAUUCUCCACCACAUCCACGUCUACCUCCGAGCCAUCAGGGGUGCACACGGUGCAGGUCACCUUGCCUUUGCCUGCUGCUUUCGUAUCCACUGUGAUCACUGUCUCCUCUCCAAUCUGGAUGGUGGGGCCGAUGCCAGCACCUGGUAGGGCAGGGUAGGUCCCCAAAGCGGGGCCAGUGGGUGAGCCUGGUACUCAAACUGCUCCCAUCAGCCUGAAGCCUGUCCAGGCCUAUAACUGCCACCACCAAGCACAGCCAGGCCUCCUACCCGACCCUGUCCCCCAAGCUGGGAUGGCGAGUGGUUUCUCAGAAGGCAGGAAGGAGUCUCCUAACCACCUCAAGCUCAAGUCCCACAUGGGAGAGGCCCAAUGAAUGGCACCCAGGUGCCAGAAGGAAAAGAAAGAGCCCAUCCUGGCACAAGAACUUAAUGCCACCUCCCCUGCUAACAGCCUCACCCAGUACCAUGACCCACGCUGCCUAACACCAGCACUCUGGCUGAGCCCAUGGCUGCCUGUUCCCCUGUGGCCUUGCCCUGGGCCCCAAUGCAGUGUAUGGAUGCAGUGAGGCAGAGUCCUGCUGCGGUGUGGGGAAUGUGACACUUGUCUCGCUAUCCCCCCAGGCCUGAAGGUGAAACUGGAGUUUCCUGACAACUGAGAACGCUCGCUUAACCAGAGGCUCGUGCCUCCCCACUCUGUCUCUGCCUAGAGCUGCAGCUGGAACUGUCCUGGAAAUUAGCAAUGAAGAGGAAAGGAAGCUGCCCCUCUGGGCAGGAGGGGCAUUGGCCCCAGCAAGCAGCUUACCUAGCCCGUGACCUCCGAUUGACACUGAGGUGAGAGGGCAGAGAGCAAGGAGAAAGGUCAGGUUUCUACCUAGCUCUGCUGUCUGAGGCUCUUCUACCAACUGCAAACUGGACCUUCAGGCUCCUUCCCUAAACUUCAAAGAGGUCACUGCCUCCCUGACCUCCUGCUCCCAGGUGCGUAAACCUUUACUCACCUUUAGGCCCCUGUACUUUGACAUGAAGCGGGGCAACACCAGCCUUGCUUGUGUCCACCUGGAAGGACUGAGGGAGGUUGGCACGGACCAUGCCUGGGCUCAGACCUGGCCCAGAGCACUUGACCUUGGAUGCAUCUGUCACAUCAUGCACAGGAACCUUAAAGGGACUACCUGGGAUUGGGGCAUAGGGAUGGCAGCUUCAUAAGUCAGAGUAGGCAUAAUCAGGCAGUCCUAGCCCUGUCCCACUGUAACCUCCUCACCUGGAACUUGGUGGCCACCAUAGGUGACAUUGAGGCUGUAGGUGCCGGCCUCGUAGGGGAUGUACUCUACUGAACAACUGCCAUCUUUGUUAUCCAUGCAGGACAUCUUCGCCUCUGAGGGGCCCUCUACAGCCAGGCCCAGGCCACCCGUGCCAGCUCCCCUGGUCCAAACAAAUAGCCUGUCAUUCCCUGGGGUUCCCAGGCCCAUUGGCUACCCACUUGCCUCCCUGGUAGCACAUUCACCUGGUCUCCACUGUGAACUUGUUGGGUUUGUUGGUGGUACCACUUUGGAUGCCCGGCCCGUGGACACGCACCCUAGAAGGGUCGCAGCCCUCGGUCACAGGUACCUGGAAGGGGCUGCUAGGCACAGGACUGCCAUCAUAGGUCACGUCAACAGAGUGGAGUCCUAGAGGGCAGGCCAGGUCAGGAAGAGCCCAGGCUGCCCCACCUGCCCUGCCUGCCCAAGAGAGCCCCAGCACAUACCCUCCUCGUACGGUGUAUAUUCUACUUUGUAUGUGCCAUCACCACAGUCUUGCACAUAGGUUUCAGUCAGGUUGCCAGAGGGGUUGGCUACACGGGCCUUGACAUGUGGCCCUCCAGUCUGUGUCAGAGCCCGGGCAUCCACGCUGAACUCAGUGGUAGCCUCUCGGAAGACUCCUGGAGAGGGACGCAAUGAAGCCAGGGUUACAGGGACCCUGGCCCCCCCAAACUCCCCCAUGUACCCUAGAGCAGGCCUCCUUACCUUGGCCCUCAAUCCCAGGCCCAUAGCAUUGGACGCCUGAGGUGUCUACAGCAGGCUCCACCUGAAGCUUGCUGGGGAAGUUGGGCACGGGCUGGCCACCGUACUUAAUGGUGACAGUGUAGGCCCCAGGGCAGAGAGGUAUGUAGGUGAUGGUGUGUGUGCCAUCACCGUGGUCCUGGAUGUACACUUCAGCUGGCAGCCCUGCCUCAGAGCAGAUCUCAAUGGUCAACUCUGCACUGCCUGCACUUGAGCAGUCCACUUGGAACUGGCCCACCUCUCCAGCAGUGGCCCGCUCCAGCCCAGGGCCUGAGCACUUGACCUUGGAUGCAUCAAAACAGGGAACCACGUGGGCCUUGAAUGGGGAGCCAGGGAUGUGGGUGUCGGCAAAAAGGAUGUUGAUGUUGUAGUCCCCAGGCUCGGUGGGCACGUAGGAUACAGAACAUGUGCCAUCCCCAUUGUCCAGGCACUCAAGCUGCGCCUCGCAGGGGCCUUCCACUGUUAGGCCCAGGCCACCUGUCCCGGCACCCUUGGUGUCGAUGGUGAAGCGGGCAGGGGAGCCUGCACUGCCUCCUUGCAGCCCUGGCCCAAAAGCCUUCACCUAAGGGAAGAGCAGGUUGGAAGCUGAGGCUGCACCACCACCAGCAAACUUCCUUUUGCCCUGGUUUUCCUCCCCUACCAAACAAGAACACGAGCAGGUUGCCUACAGCUAUGCCACCAUUCUCCAUUAUAAGGGCAAGACUGGAGAAGAUGGAGUGGCCCCCUGGGACCCUCAGAAAGCACAGUGGGCUCCACCCUUAGAGCCUCCCAAUCCCAAUUACCUUGCUAGGUUUGGUGGGGGCCAUGGCUUCCAGAGGAAAAGGGCUGCCAGGCACAGGCACACCAUCAUAGGUCACCUCUACCUCAUAGGGCCCCUCCUCACGGGGCACAAAGCGCACCACACUAUUGUCGGCCCCCAGGCCUGGCUCCACCUUGCAGGGCACCACUGCACCCGAGGGGCCCACGAUCUUGGAGGCCACUUUGCCUUGACCACCUGCACCCUUUGACUUGACUGUGAACUCCUGAUCUUUGCCAACAUCCACUUCUGUUGAGAUAAGAAAGGAGAGAAAGAGAACCAUGGCACCUAGCUUAGGUAGGCCCUGGGUGCUCUUCAGUGACUACAGAAAGUACUCAACUACUCACUCUCUCCUAGGCCAGACACCUUGAUCUUGCUGAGGUCCAGGCUUGGAGACACCCCAACUGAGAAAGGACUCUUGGGGAUGGGAUCCCCUCCAUAAGUGACAUUGACACCUACUGGGCCCUGAGAGGGGUACAGAAGGGCAACAAUCAUCAGUCAAUA